UGAGCAAUCUGCCCUUCACAUCGGAAUAAGCGUUGGAAACGACGUCUAAUGCCGAAUACGACCUCCUUUCGCAUGAUCGGAGGUGGAAAGCUCCGGCGGAGAAGGAUGAGCUCGCGGCCUAUCAGCUAGUUGGUGUGGGUAAUGGCCCACCAAGGCGACGACGGGUAGCCGGCCUGAGAGGGUGACCGGCCACCG
rnacentral:rRNA from 1 species